rnacentral:rRNA from 1 species
CAUGAAGCUGGAAUCGCUAGUAAUCGCGAAUCAGAAUGUCGCGGUGAAUACGUUCCCGGGUCUUGUACACACCGCCCGUCACACCAUGGGAGUCAGUAACGCCCGAAGCCGGUGACCCAACCGAUAAGGAGGGAGCCGUCGAAGGUGGGACCGAUAACUGGGGUGAAGUCGUAACAAGGUAAC